AUAAAAGGAAAGUAUUAAAUAAAAUAUAAUGAAAAGAACUAACCUCCGCGUAAUCUUGUUUUCCAGAAAAAAGAUGUAGUCCUCCACUAUAUCACAAAAAUUAUAAUUGACAAUGUCAUAACUUUCUCUUAUGACAUUUUCAAUACUUUUACAAUCAUCUAGCUUUGACUUGCUGCAUGUGUUGUUUCUGGAGCUUUUUAUGAACAACAAAAUUAAGUGAAUAAACAAAUAUAGUGUAUACUAAGAUAUAAUGUCUAAACUAGUAAGACAAAUUAGUUAUAAAAUAUAUUACCCUUAAACGAAGAAAUUUUCACAUGAUGUCCAGUCGCGCCUUCGCUAACAUAAAUAUUGUCAAACGAAAAAUCAGGAUGACAAACGCCCAUUAAAUGCGCGUAUUCAAGUCCGUCAGAAAUACCACUGAAAACAAAAAUAUUUAAAAGAAAAAAGAAUAUUUUUAGAUUUAAUAAAAAAAUAUUCAUAUAAUAAUUAAUUCAAAUCUUACGGAAAAAUUAACUUGUCGUAUGUCUCGGAUAUACCGUACACGUGGUCUUUUUUAUUGACAAAUAAAUUAUUCUUAUAAUGUUUAAUAUAGUUCUUUAGUUUACAACUAAUGACUUCUGUGAUUACCAAGAAUUUCGCUAUGUGAUAAUUCUCGAACCGAAGUAUGUUUUGAUGGCUUAAAACGUUUCCGAGAUUGUAAGAAUCUACCGUAAUAUGUUUUGUGACUAAAACUUCAAUUGUCUCCUGAAGAUGAUCAUCUUUGUACUGUCCAGUUCUAAAACCAAGAUUUUUUCCGAAUACUUCUCAAGUGCUCUAUCACCGAUAAUUAAUUUAUUUUCAAAGCUAUGCUGUCUCUCGCUCUGCAAAGAAACGGGUUUAAAAUUAUGAAUAUAAUUGACAAAAAAAAGGUUGUUAAUUUUGUAGAUAAAUUACAAAUAUUACAAGAAAAAAAGUUCGAUCUCAAGAGAACUAUAUGCCCAAGUACAACUAUGUAGCAUAGGUUAGUUGUAUCUGAGCACAUAAUUUCUAACAUUGAGGAACUAAAAAUAAAUGUAGAAACUAUGUGCGCAAAACAACAUAGGGCCUCUUUAGCCUAAUUUCUGAAAAAGUGACUUCUGCAUAAGUGAUUUUAGUUUGGAGAUAAAUUAAAUAUUGGCACGUGAAAUUUAAAAUUGCAUUUAUAUCCUUUUGGAUUGUAGACAUAGUAUUUUUUAGCAUAAUGCCAUUAAAAUUUAGAAUCACUUGUAAAAAAGUAUGAAAUAAGACAAAAGAGUAUAGAGCAUAAACAUAUGGAUAUACCGAUACAUAAAGUGCAUGAAUAUACGUCAUCCUUUUUUUAUUUAACAUAUUGUUGUAAUCGUUUUCCUAUCAUUGCAUGAUGUCUUAUAUGUUAUAUCAACCUACGUAGACUGCAAACAUACUAGUUCAUUAUGUAAACAGUGAGAUAUAUCAAAACAUGUGGAUUUUAUUACAGAUAAAAUUACAGAUAAAAGUAUCAAUUGCGUACCUUCUUUCUUGUGGAGCGUAUAGAGCAAAAACAGUUGGAUUUUGUCACAAAUACGUGUGUUAAUGGUUGUUAUUUACACUAAAAAAUUAAAAAAAUCAUACCUGUCUUAUGUGUUCGGCAUAACUUUUACCAGGAUGGUACCUAACAAGAAUUUAAAAAGUCAAAGAGUGAAACUAUUACUUCAGUAACUAUGCUUUUAGUGCUUGCUAUCUUUCUCUGAGGUCGGAAUCCUAAAUAUACUAGGAUUGGGUACAUCUUUGGUUGAGCAUUAUACAUAAUGCAUUAGAGGCUAUUGAGGGUGUAGUACGAUCAAGAGAGAGAGAGUCUCUUGAGUGUGCGUACCAGAGAGAAAAAGAGAGAGAGAGAGAAUAGCCAAGAGUUGAGUGCACCUAGUGCACGGGUGCAUGCGAAUGAUUAUCUUCUUUGGGGUUUUAUAGAAGUCGAGAGAAGGGUAAGAGAGAUUCAAAAAGAAGGCUCGGGUUGUAGCUACUCAGUUGUAGAAGAGGAGUCAGGUGUAAUCUUCUCUUAAUUAAUGAAUCUUACUUUACCCGCAUAUUUUUCUCUUUUAUGAUUGUAUCAGCUUCUGCUGAGGAGACGAGUUUAUGGUAAAAACUCGAUUUGACGCUUCCGUUGCGGAAUCCCAACAAUCGGUACCGGAUCCACAGCAGUCGGUAUUGAAGCAGGUUGCGGAUUCACAAGAUCCGGUACCGGGGCAAGUACCGGAUUCCCAACAAAAACUGUUUCAAGUGUAUAUAUAUGGUGAAUUUUGUCCUAUGUGGGAUAUUUUUAAUUUAUAUAAUAUAAAAUAUUUAAAUAAUAUAUUGUAUCAUAAAAAAAAAUCUUUAAUGCAUAUUUUAGAGUUGAUUUACAGUGCAAGAGGCAUGUUCAAAAUUUUUAUUGGAUCGAUGUGUGAAAAAUUCCCAUUUAUUUAACCUGCUUCUCUUAGAAACCUUUUCUUCAGUAUGACCGAAUCGUCAAUUUAUAUAUUCUAUAGAUUAUGUAGUAAUUACAUUAUUUUAUACAGCCUACAUGAAAAAGAUUGUAGAGAGAUCUAAUAAUAUAAUUUAUAUAAAUCAAUAAAGAAAGAAAAAUACAAUAGUAGGAAGAAAUUAUUUUACGUAUCCGUCUAUGAAUAAAUUUUGUACAAUAAAUGUCUAAAAUUCUAUUAUAAAAAUAUGAAGUCUGUAAUUUUUAUAUAUAGAGUUUUAGUAUUUUGUAGAUCAUAUAUUAAAUUAUAUUUUAAUUUCACAACACUAAUUUUUUUAUUUACUAUCUAAACUUUAUCUUAUAUAAAAAAAACAAAAAAAAAAACUUUUCUCGUUCUCUAUUGCCGUUCUUCAGUUCUUCCUUUCCCAUCCCUAUAAUUUAGAAAAAUCUCUUUAAACACAAGCUUUUUAAACAUAAACUGUUUGAAUUUUUCUAGACCCCAACAUAUUCUAAAAUUCUAUCAUAAAAGUUUAGAUAUUAAUUUUUUUAGACAUUGAUAUUUUAUAUGAUUUAGAUUGACUUUAUCAAACUAGAUUUUAAUUUUAAAAUAUUAAUAAAAUUGAUUAGUAAUAUGCUCGGUUUAUGUAGUUUAUUAGUAGAUUGUACACAUGCAAUAUUUCUCCUAUUUAAUGGAGAUUUGGAAGUUGAGAAUUAGGGGAACAAGUGUGACCAACCAACUCUCUUUCAAUGUGGUAAGAAUAGAAAUGCAUAGUGAAUUUUAUUUUAUUUUUAUAGUAUUUAAUCAUUGAAAAAUAAAAUAAAAUAAAUUUAGUGCAAGUUUGUGCAUUUAGUUGGGCGACACCUGUCUUUGUAUGCUUGUCCCAACUCUACUUUUAUAAUAUGUAAUGUAAUGUAAUGCAAUAUGUAGUGCAGUAAAUGUGAAGUGAAAUGCAACAAGCUGCAAAUUAAUAGUACCAGUUGUCCAUCUUUACCCUCAGUUCUUUAGUUAUCCUGUAAACCAAAAUUUAAAAAUAGUAAUGAGAACUAAAAUAAAAGUUUUGAAUUAUGGCACCACAAAACAAAAGGAUAAAAAAAAGUAUAUUUAUAUGAACGGGUUUAAAUUAGUUCGGAGUCACAGGAAGGGAACCAGAGGUGAGCUCCGUUCCCUGAUGGGCGCCGCGAGUAGGUAGGCACCCAUGUGGCGUGAUUGGUGGACUCUAUCUAAUUGAUUUUCAAAAAAAAAAAAACUCUCUCAACCCAUUAAUAGGGGCAAUGAAUGAGAAAAAGAGAGUGACCGGGAGGGAGGGAGGGGACUAUCCCACAUACAUAGUCUCCAAAGUACAGACAUCACUCGCUCCAGCAAACAAACCAACAUAAGUAUGCACAUGAACCAAAAUACCCCAAAACUACUUGUGGAAGGUACUACUCUAGCACUGCAACCCGGGAAGGGAUCUAGCUCGUGACUCUCUUUCCAUGAUCAGUAUCAGCGACAGCAGCAGCCGCAGAAAAAGGCUCUGCAAAAAGGGGUCAACAACUGGGUGUGAGAACUAGUGCAAAAAGUAGUCCUCAGUGGGUACCGCUAUCGACCUCAACGACUCACCCACUAAGUCUACAGAAAGUAUGCUCAAGGAUAGUAAAGGAAGCUGGAAAAACUCUACAGCUACAUGCCACUAUACUAUCUCUAACUAACACUAGCUAUCUGUAGAUAUAAUCAAGAUGCAAUCUCUGACCUAAUCUCACUAGGGACUGUGAACGCACCCGUCCCGCCUGUCGAAGCUACACCAACCACCACCACGCUGGGUAAUUGGUGAAGAGCAAGUCCACACUGAACACUACGACAUCUACGCAAACGCAUAAAGCACGACUCCGGAGUGGCACUCAUGAGCACUACCCAACCGAGUAUGCAAGCGUAUCUCUGUCGAGCUCAAUCAGGCUCUCACAGGCUAUAAUCAAAGAAAAUGAGUUUAACUGGUGUAACAACCAAAGCUCAUGUGCCCUCGGCACAAUUUGAUGCAAAUACAGAAAUCUGGGUCCACUGUCAACCGCGACAGCACCCGACUGUUUGGAACAGUCUAUACACUACUAUAAAAAUCAACUCGGCUCCUCAGCGCGAGCGUAAACUCAACCUACACUCAUCCGAGCAUCCACCUCGCACUAACAGUGGUGGUACAAAAAUCUGGGUUCACGGUCAAUCCCAAUGGCACCCGACAGUACGAAAUAGUCUACAUACUACUAUAAAAUAAGCUUGGCAUCCCAGUACGAGCGUAAACUCACCCUACACUAAUCUGAUAACUACCGUAUACAAACAGCAGCGAUAGGAACAAACCAUAGCUCCAAAAGCUAAAUCUGGUAAUUUUCAGAAAAUGACAGUGUAGGAUCUAUAGUUUUCUCCUAAGUCAAUUUCAAGUCCAACAUGUAAAAUGAUACAACUAGCUUAACUCCAAAUUCAGAUUUAAAUACUAAUUCAUGAAUUCGAGUACUAGCAAGGAUAACCCAAACAACAAGAAACACAUGUUGACGUUGAUAAAACUUAUAAGGAAAUCCAACGAUUUCGGUACACUUCAACCCACCUCGUAAAGCUAAUCCAACUACGGCGAGAAGUCAAAAGGAGAGGAAUCACGCGCUUGCCCGGCCUCCAACAGUGCAACCGCGACACCCUCAAGCUCGAACGGCUCUCCGACGUAAUGUCGACGUCGAUCAAAGCUCAAGCCGUGGUCUCCACUAAGCUCACGACUCCUACCUAGAGAGAGAGAGGAAAUAGCAACAAGAGGCUCACUCCCUGCCUCUUUACACGUAUAAGAAGCGGUGGGGAUAAGGGUGAUAUAAACGAUGCAUAAAAUGACCAAAAGGCCCCUCACCUACUCAAAAAUCCAGCUGGAGAACCGGUACCUCACUUGAAUUCCGAUACUCGGGCCUUCAGCGCGCAGCUUCGCACACUGGGUACCGGUAUUAUCACGCUCCGAGCCCGCCUAUUUGGUCGGUUUUGGGCACGCCAACAGACCGCCGAACGGACAGGGUUCCUCUGUACCGCGGACAGAGUCUCCCCUGUACGUCCAAGGCGUCACAACCUAUACAAUACGCGUGGUUCCAACCAGGAACAACAUACAAACAAAGAUUGCAUAAGGAAGGUAUCGAAAACAUAAACAACUAAGUUAUUACAUGUAUUCAACUAACAUAUUACUUAUUACAUCACAUAUUGCCAUUCCUUUUUAAUUCUUUGAUUCUUACUUUCAAAUACAAUCAAGUUUCCAACAUAAUUAUUACAACAUUGUUCUUUCCAUUACUAAACCCCUAAGCUAAGCCGACUUAGGGUAUCGCUAUCUCCGGUCUCGGUGGUAGGGCGCUAACUACGGAGCUACGCCCUCACCUCGCUCCGCCGCGCCGCUCACGUGUGAACCUGUACCCCCAAAAAUAAUACGGGGGUGAGAACUGUUGUCCAUAGUUCCCAGUGGGUACGGCCACCCAAGGAAAAAGCUCGACCCACCAGGUCCAAAGGAGGCACUGUAAACAUGUUAGUCCAACAGAUAUCCACAAAUAAUAUUUAUGCAAAUAUUGAAUACAUGUUUAUGCCUCAAGACAUGCAAUAUGUAAAUCAUGCAACUCCUGCAAGUAGAUUAAUUGAUUCUACUCUCUAUCAUUUACCAUUCUUUAUAUUAUUAGCAAUUCUUUAUCACUUACCAUUCUUUACUCUUUAUUCUUAGCCAUACUUUACUCAAUUGUCAUUCUUUUCUAAGAUUACAUUUACCUUAGCCAACUAUGCCACUCAACUCGGUCUUGAGUCAAUUCAUGAUGAAUGCAAGAUUUUAUUGCCCAAUCUCUUGGCUAACCCGUAGGUUUCGCCCUCAACAAACUCACCAACCAAAUCCCUACUAUCGGGGAGAUACCCGCUACAAUCCGACGGGACCAUCAUCUGGGGAGAUACUCGCUACGACUCAGUAAUGACAACUCCGGAGCACAUCGCCCGAGGAAAAGCUACCAUCCUCGAGCAAGGACUUACAGGUAAGUAUGAUCCAAUCCUUAACUAUAAGGAUGUUAAGUUCAAUCUAUUCCUUAACUAUAAGGAAACAAUACACAUAUGACCCUUAACUCUAAGGUUGUUAUGUCAUAAUGUUACAUCACUCUUUUACUUGCAUUCUUUACUUUUAUUAGUGUCAUUUACACUACUUGUUCUUUAUACUCGUUUUCAUGCACUCGUUUUGUUCUCACUAAUGCCACACACACUAAGUGUUCUCUUUCUAGCAUUCUUUAGCAUUGAUUAUAUUCAUUAAUGCCACUCAUACAUUUAUGUCAACAUGUCACUUUGUUUCUAAGUUUUCAUUGUUAUGUCAAAUGCCACAAUGUCACAAUUGCACAUGUAUAUACUUUUUAGCACAUUUCACAACUUUCCAUCAUGCAUACUUUCAUCUAGCAUACUCCACAAUGUCAACAUGUAUANAUGAAUGUUUGGUAUAUGUAUAUAGACAUAUAUUGGAAUAUGAUAAAUGAAUAUGCAUGUUCACAUUGUGGAGUAUGCUAGAUGAAAGUAUGAAUGAUGGAAAGUUGUGAAAUGUGCUAAAAAGUAUAUACAUAUACCAAACAUUCAUAUGCCAUCUAACAUGUUCCAUAAUUUAUCAACAUGCAUAUUACCUCUAACAUAUUCCUCAAUGUAUUAACAUGUUUAUCUCAAUGGUAGGUAAAACAUCAAGCAUAAUAAGGAUCAUGCAUCCAUAUUACCUUAUGCAACCUACCACUAUACAUAUAUGCAUUAAUAAUGAAAUAUUACUUUGCUUCGACAUGGAAGCGAGCUAGACAUUUCGGUGAGCACAACCCACCUCAAAUCGCUUUCUGAUUGCUUGUAGUCACUUGCAAUCGGCCUCCCACGGCACCUGUUGCCCGGUUCGGCCCGAACUCGCAUUCGACCGCCAAACAGCCACCAAUCCGUAAUCCGGAAAUUAAAGGUCUAUAACUUGAUACCACGAUGCUCCGAAUCCAUUCUCGUGAUUUUUGGACGUCGCCUCGGCGUUCCAGACGGAAACGAAGCCGAAACGUCUGUUUCUUUAAUAUCUUCGUACCGGCUAGACGAAUCGCCGAACCGACUUCGCCAACGCGUUCGUAUACCUAACAAUUAGGUUUACGUAGGGUUAAUUUAGAUCAAACCCAAACAUAAAGCAAAACUCUAUUUUUGAGCCCUAAGAUGCCCUAUUGUAAGAAAUCAUCACAUAAUCUCUUAAUUCAUGUAAUAGUCAUCCAUUUAGCAUCUAAGGGUUUCUCUAAAUCCAAUUCUAGAGCAUAUAAUUUAAAUCCUAGAAAUCCACCAUUUUAAACAUUGCCUCUACACAUGCUCCAAAUAACCCAAAUUAAAUGAAUUUAACAUGCCAACAACACAUUAGAGACUACUAGAACACUAAGUAUUAAGGAUUAAGCCAAAUCCCCAAAACUUACCAAAACGUAAACGUCAAGACGGAGGCACGCCGCUCAACCGGGCGCACGAAGGCCCGAUCCGACGCUCCCAACGCGUUCCCAAGCUUGCUUUCCACCAACCCUCAAAUUUGUAGAGAGAGAUCUAGAGAGAUGAUAGAGAUAUUUAGAGAGAGAAAGGGAGGGUUUCUCUCUCGCCCUCUCCAAACGUGUGUGGGCUGGUGGUGUGGCUCGGUUGAGGGAGAAGAAGAAGAAGACCACCUUUUAUACAAAACCCCCUCAACAUUACACUAUUCACAUUAGCAGAUUAGCAGCUUACAAACUGACGUUUUUCGUCGGAGCCCUUCUGAAUGUCCGUUUGCACUCAAAUUUGACAGUCAGGCUUGGUUUUACUUAACAAGUACAAAAAAAUUUUAAUCUUUCAGUUUCGACCAUGUUUGGUCAUCGAAAGCUCUACCGAACUGUAAUCUCUAGCAGAUAGCAGUCGGAUUUUAUUUUUCACCUUCCGAAUGUCAGAAUGACAUGAAACUUUAAAUCUAGCCUCAUAAAAAUAAUUUUGACAUAUUCUCCAAUUUUCAUAAUUUUCUGACACUGCAUUUUCUGCUAAAAUAUCAGUCCCGUUUCCAAUAGAAAAUUCUAAAUCUUCUGUUUCUGUUUCGAUUUUAGCACAAGUCGUUUCUGACUUAUGUUUUACUUCUCUAAAUCUAAUAAAAAUAGUAUCUCACACUAUUUUUAUUUAUCUUUACUUUAAUAUUAAAAUCUGGUAUGUUACAGGUACUCACCCGAUGUAGUACCUGUCACGCCCCGGAUGUCUCGUUCCCAGGGCACGCCGACAGAUCCGCCGUAUACAAAGGAAUUUCCCCUAUAUACGAAGCGACAGCUGUAGCCGUAAAUCCAACACUACUACGAACAGUAGUAGCGAGCUGCUAGAGAAAAACAGAAGCUAAACAAACUGAGUUUCAUAUACAUAGUCCAAAUCUAAAAUACAGAGCUACUCGCACUGGCGAGUUAAGUCUACUAUGUACAUAAACUCGAAACAAAACAUCUACCUGCAGUAGGGGCACCUCUAGCUCAGCACGUCGGGUAGGGCUCUAACUCGCGGCGCCCUUGCCUCGAUCCUGAUCCGCGGAAGGCGCAGUAGCCGAAACCUGUGGCUCUGCAAAACAGGGGUAACAACUGGGAGUGAGAACUACUGUAAAAACAAGUAGUCCUCAGUGGGUGCAGCCCAAACAACAUCGGUCCACCCACUAAGCUACAGAGGGGAGCCAGGAUAGUAGGAAAAGCAGAAAGUAAACACUACCGCUAUCAGUCACUACACUAUCAUGCUCUACACUAACCAACUGUAGGACAUGUCAAAUCUGACCCAAUCCAAUCGGGACUGUAAACAUACCCGUCCCUGGGACUGUGAAUACACCCGUCCCUGCCCAGUUGCGACUAUCCAGCUACCUCCACACUAACUGGUCCGUGGAGAGCAAGUCCAACCGGCAUGAGCGACACCAACGCAAAAGCACAAAGCCUGACUCCGGAGUGGCACUCGUGAGUGCUACCCAACCGAGUAUGCAGCGGAUCUCUGUCGAGCUCAAACAGGCUCUAAAAAGCCAAAGUCAAGAAAUCGACUCUAACUGGUCUAACAACCAACUGGUAACGUGCGUAAUCUUGUUUUCCAGAAAAAAGAUGUAGUCCUCUACUAUAUCACAAAAAUUAUAAUUGACAAUGUCAUAACUUUCUCUUAUGACAUUUUCAAUACUUUUAUAAUCAUCUAGCUUUGACUUACUUGCUGCACGUGUUGUUUUUGAAAAAUCUUUUCUGAACAACAAAAAUUAAGUGAAUAAACAAAUAUAGUGUAUACUAAGAUAUAAUGUCUAAACUAGUAAGACAAAUUAGUUAUAAAAUAUAUUACCUUUGAACGAAAAAAUUUUCACAUGAUGUCCAGUCACUUCCUCGCUAACAUAAAUAUUGUCAAGCGAAAAAUCAGGAUGACAAAUGCCCAUUAAAUGCGCGUAUUCAAGUCCGUCAGAAAUACCACUGAAAACAAAAAUAUUUAAAAGAAAAAAGAUAUUUUUAAAUUUAAUAAACAAAAAAUAUUCAUAUAAUAAUUAAUUCGAAACUUACCGAAGUAUUAAUUUGUUGUAUAUCUCGAAUAUACCGUACACGUGGUCUUUUUUAUUGACAAAUAAAUUAUUCUUAUAAUGUUUAAUAUAGUUCGUUAGUUUACAACUAAUAACUUCUGUGAUUACCGAGAAAUUUGCUGUGUGAUAAUUCUCGAACCGAAGUAUGUUUUGAUGGCUUAAAAUAUUUCCGAGAUUGUAACAAUCCAUCGAAAUAUGUUUUGUGACUAAAACUUCAAUUGUCUCCUGAAGAUGAUCAUCUUUGUACUGUCCAGUUCUAAAACCAAGAUUUUUUUCCGAAUACUUGUCAAGUGCUCUAUCAUCGAUAAUUAAUUUAUUUUCAAAGUCAUGCUGUCUCUCGCUUUGUAAGGAAACGGGUUUAAAAAUAUGAAUAUAAUUGACAACAAAAAAGUUGUUAAUUUUGUAGAUAAAUUACAAAUAUUACAAAAAAAAAAAUUCAAUCUCAAGAGAACUAUAAUCCCAAAUACAACUAUGUAGCAUAGGUUAGUUGUAUCUGGGCACAUAGUUUCUAACAUUGAGGAACUAAAAAUAAAUGUAGAAACUACGUGCUACAACAUAGGGCCUCCUUAGCCUAAUUUCUGGAAAAGUGAUUCCUACAGAAGUGAUUUUAGUUUGGAGAUAAAUUAAAUAUUGGCACGUGAAAUUUAAAAUUGCAUUUAUACCCUUUUGGAUUGUAGACCUAGUAUUUUUUAGUAUAAUGCCAUUAUAUUUUAAAAUCACUUAUAAAAAAGUAUAAAAUAAGACAAAAGAGUAUAGAGCAUAAACAUAUGGAUAUACCGAUACAUCAAGUGCAUGAAUAUACGUCAUCUUUUUUUUGUUUAGCAUAUUAUUGUAAUCGUUUUCCUAUUAUUGCAUGAUGUCUUAUAUGUUAUAUUAACCUACGUAGACUGUAAACAUACUAGUUCAUUAUGUAAACAAUGAGAUAUAUCAAAACAUGUGAAUUUUAUUACAGAUAAAAUUGCAGAUAAAAGUGUCAAUUGC
rnacentral:lncRNA from 1 species